GAUACCCUACUAUACUAAGAAGGUGUGUAUAACUCGAAUUAUUAAUAGUUAUGUUCUUGAAAUUUAAAGAAUUUGGCGGUGAUCUAGUCUUGUCAGAGGAACCUGUUUUUGAAUCGAUAAACCACGUAGAAUCUUACUCACUUUUGUUAAAGGUAAAUAUACUUGCAGCUUAUAUACCAUCAUUAACAGACAAUUUUAAAAGAAAUAAUUGUUAAGAUUUAUAAAUUAAAUAAAAUUAGAUCAAGGUGUAGCUUAUAAGUGAGUUAAAAUGGGUUACAAUAAAAUUUAUUUAUAACGGAGUAGCCAGGGGAAGACUUUGGUUUGAAGGAGGAUUUGAUUGUAUUGUAAAUUUAAUAUGCUUGUAAGGUAAAAGCUCUAGAUCAUGUACAU
rnacentral:rRNA from 1 species